rnacentral:rRNA from 1 species
UAGUCCACGCCGUAAACGAUGUGUGCUAGUUGUCGGGCUCUUAAGAGUUCGGUGACGGAGCUAACGCAUUAAGCACACCGCCUGGGGAGUACGGCCGCAAGGUUAAAACUCAAAGGAAUUGACGGGGACCCGCACAAGCGGUGGAGCAUGUUCUUUAAUUCGAAGCAACGCGAAGAACCUUACCUACACUUGACAUACCUAUCGGGACUUUCAGAGAUGAUUGUCUUCGGUUCGGCCGGAUAGGAUACAGGUGCUGCAUGGCUGUCGUCAGCUCGUGUCGUGAGAUGUUAGGUUAAGUCCUGCAACGAGCGCAACCCUCGCCAUCUGUUGCCAGCAUUAAGUUGGGCACUCUGAUGGUACUGCCGGUGAUAAGCCGGAGGAAGGUGGGGACGACGUCAAGUCAUCAUGGCCCUUACGUGUAGGGCUAGAAACGUGCUACAAUGGCAACUACAAUGGGCAGCGAACUCGCGAGGGUAAGCUAAUCUCCAAAAGUUGUCUCAGUUCGG